rnacentral:rRNA from 1 species
UACGUAGGGGGCCAGCGUUGCUCGGAAUUACUGGGCGUAAAGGGUUCGUAGGUGGUGCGGCAAGUCGGAAGUGAAAUCUCUGGGCUUAACUCAGAGGCUGCUUUCGAAACUGCCGUGCUCGAGUGCGGGAGAGGCCAGUGGAAUUGCAGGUGUAGCGGUGAAAUGCGUAGAUAUCUGCAGGAACACCCGUGGCGAAGGCGGCUGGCUGGACCGCAACUGACACUGAGGAACGAAAGCUAGGGGAGCAAACAGG